CCUACGGGAGGCAGCAGUGGGGAAUAUUGGUCAAUGGGCGAGAGCCUGAACCAGCCAAGUCGCGUGAAGGAUGAAGGAUCUAUGGGUUGUAAACUUCGUUUAUAGGGGAAUAAAGUGAGGAACGUGUGCCUUUUUGGAUGUACCAUAUGAAUAAGAAUCGGCUAACGCCGUGCCAGCAGCCGCGGUAAUACGGAGGAUGCGAGCGUUAUCCGGAUUUAUUGGGUGUAAAGGGUGCGUAGGUGGUUAAUUAAGGCAGCGGUGAAAGUUUGUGGCUCAACCAUACAAUUGCCGUUGAAACUGGUUGCCUUGCGUAUCUUUGAGGUCGGCGGUCUGCGUGGUGUAUCGG
rnacentral:rRNA from 1 species